rnacentral:rRNA from 1 species
CCUACGGGGGGCAGCAGUAGGGAAUAUUGCUCAAUGGGCGAAACCCUGAAGCAGCAACGCCGCGUGGAGGAUGAAGGUCCUCGGAUUGUAAACCCCUUUUGUUAGAGAAGAAAAUGCCGUUACCUAACGAAUAAGCACCUGCUAACUCCGUCCCAGCAGCCGCGGUAAUACGGGGGGUGCAAGCGGUACUCGGAAUUACUGGGCGGAAAGAGCGCGUAGGCGGGUUAGCAAGUCAGAUGUGAAAUCCUAUGGCUUAACCAUAGAACUGCAUUUGAAACUGGUAUUCUAGAGUGUGGGAGAGGUAGGUGGAAUUCUUGGUGUAGGGGUGAAAUCCGUAGAGAUCAAGAGGAAUACUGAUUGCGAAGGCGACCUGCUAGAACAUAACUGACGCUGAUGCGCGAAAGCGUGGGGAGCAAACAGGAUUAGAUACCCCAGUAGUC